rnacentral:rRNA from 1 species
AUUGAACGCUGGCGGCAUGCCUUACACAUGCAAGUCGAACGGCAGCACGGGAGCAAUCCUGGUGGCGAGUGGCGAACGGGUGAGUAAUAUAUCGGAACGUGCCCAGUCGUGGGGGAUAACGUAGCGAAAGCUACGCUAAUACCGCAUACGAUCUACGGAUGAAAGCGGGGGAUCGCAAGACCUCGCGCGAUUGGAGCGGCCGAUAUCAGAUUAGCUAGUUGGUGAGGUAAAGGCUCACCAAGGCGACGAUCUGUAGCUGGUCUGAGAGGACGACCAGCCACACUGGAACUGAGACACGGUCCAGACUCCUACGGGAGGCAGCAGUGGGGAAUUUUGGACAAUGGGCGCAAGCCUGAUCCAGCAAUGCCGCGUGCAGGAUGAAGGCCUUCGGGUUGUAAACUGCUUUUGUACAGAACGAAACGGCUCUUUCUAAUACAAGUGGCUAAUGACGGUACUGUAAGAAUAAGCACCGGCUAACUACGCGCCAGCCGCCGCCGUAA